GUUGGGUAGGGGAGCGUUCUGUAAGCCUGUGAAGGUGUGUCGUGAGGCAUGCUGGAGGUAUCAGAAGUGCGAAUGCUGACAUAAGUAACGAUAAAGCGGGUGAAAAGCCCGCUCGCCGGAAGACCAAGGGUUCCUGUCCAACGUUAAUCGGGGCAGGGUGAGUCGACCCCUAAGGCGAGGCCGAAAGGCGUAGUCGAUGGGAAACAGGUUAAUAUUCCCGUACUUGGUGUUACUGCGAAGGGGGGACGGAGAAGGCUAUGUUGGCCGGGCGACGGUUGUCCCGGUUUAAGCGUGUAGGCUGGUUUUCCAGGCAAAUCCGGAAAAUCAAGGCUGAGGCGUGACGACGAGGCACUACGGUGCUGAAGCAACAAAUGCCCUGCUUCCAGGAAAAGCCUCUAAGCAUCAGGUAACAUCAAAUCGUACCCCAAACCGACACAGGUGGUCAGGUAGAGAAUACCAAGGCGCUUGAGAGAACUCGGGUGAAGGAACUAGGCAAAAUGGUGCCGUAACUUCGGGAGAAGGCACGCUGACACGUAGGUGAAGUGAUUUACUCACGGAGCUGAAGUCAGUCGAAGAUACCAGCUGGCUGCAACUGUUUAUUAAAAACACAGCACUGUGCAAACACGAAAGUGGACGUAUACGGUGUGACGCCUGCCCGGUGCCGGAAGGUUAAUUGAUGGGGUCAGCGCAAGCGAAGCUCCUGAUCGAAGCCCCGGUAAACGGCGGCCGUAACUAUAACGGUCCUAAGGUAGCGAAAUUCCUUGUCGGGUAAGUUCCGACCUGCACGAAUGGCGUAAUGAUGGCCAGGCUGUCUCCACCCGAGACUCAGUGAAAUUGAACUCGCUGUGAAGAUGCAGUGUACCCGCGGCAAGACGGAAAGACCCCGUGAACCUUUACUAUAGCUUGACACUGAACAUUGAGCCUUGAUGUGUAGGAUAGGUGGGAGGCUUUGAAGUGUGGACGCCAGUCUGCAUGGAGCCGACCUUGAAAUACCACCCUUUAAUGUUUGAUGUUCUAACGUGGACCCGUAAUCCGGGUUGCGGACAGUGUCUGGUGGGUAGUUUGACUGGGGCGGUCUCCUCCUAAAGAGUAACGGAGGAGCACGAAGGUUGGCUAAUCCUGGUCGGACAUCAGGAGGUUAGUGCAAUGGCAUAAGCCAGCUUGACUGCGAGCGUGACGGCGCGAGCAGGUGCGAAAGCAGGUCAUAGUGAUCCGGUGGUUCUGAAUGGAAGGGCCAUCGCUCAACGGAUAAAAGGUACUCCGGGGAUAACAGGCUGAUACCGCCCAAGAGUUCAUAUCGACGGCGGUGUUUGGCACCUCGAUGUCGGCUCAUCACAUCCUGGGGCUGAAGUAGGUCCCAAGGGUAUGGCUGUUCGCCAUUUAAAGUGGUACGCGAGCUGGGUUUAGAACGUCGUGAGACAGUUCGGUCCCUAUCUGCCGUGGGCGCUGGAGAACUGAGGGGGGCUGCUCCUAGUACGAGAGGACCGGAGUGGACGCAUCACUGGUGUUCGGGUUGUCAUGCCAAUGGCACUGCCCGGUAGCUAAAUGCGGAAGAGAUAAGUGCUGAAAGCAUCUAAGCACGAAACUUGCCCCGAG
rnacentral:rRNA from 1 species